AUUAAUCGCGUGCGCGAAAAAUAAUCAAAUACGACUCGAUUGAAUCGGUACUUAGUAAGUAAGACAAUGAUAAUGAUUGAUACUUUAAUCACAUAAAAUGAUAUCGCAUUGCGUCGUUCAUGGGAGU